GUGAAAAUAAUUUAUAAUAAAAUACUAUAUUGAAGCUAUAGAAAAGAUAUUUUAGUCUUUUCACAU
rnacentral:tRNA from 1 species